rnacentral:rRNA from 1 species
GGAUAAACGCUGGCGGCGUGCAUUAGACAUGCAAGUCGAACGGACUUCUCGGGGGCUUGCUCUGAGAAGUUAGUGGCGGACGGCUGAGUAACGCGUAGGUGACCUACCCCGAAGUGGGGAAUAACUGCCCGAAAGGGUGGCUAAUACCGCAUGGUGAUCGUAUGUUACAUUCGUACGAUCAAAGCCGUAAGGCGCUUCGGGAGGGGCCUGCGUCCGAUUAGCUCGUUGGUGGGGUAAUGGCNCACCAAGGCGACGAUCGGUAGGUGGUCUGAGAGGACGAUCACCCAGACUGGG